rnacentral:rRNA from 1 species
ACGGGAGGCAGCAGUGAGGAAUAUUGGUCAAUGGGCGAGAGCCUGAACCAGCCAAGUAGCGUGAGGGAUGACUGCCCUAUGGGUUGUAAACCUCUUUUAUACGGGAAUAAAGUGCGGCACGUGUGCCGCUUUGCAUGUACCGUAAGAAUAAGCAUCGGCUAAUUCCGUGCCAGCAGCCGCGGUAAUACGGAAGAUGCGAGCGUUAUCCGGAUUUAUUGGGUUUAAAGGGAGCGUAGGCGGAAGAUUAAGUCAGCCGUGAAAUCCCGUCGCUUAACGACGGAACUGCGGUUGAUACUGGUUUUCUUGAGUGCACAUAAGGAAGGUGGAAUUUGUGGUGUAGCGGUGAAAUGCUUAGAUAUCACGAAGAACUCCGAUUGCGAAGGCAGCCUUCUGGGGUGCAACUGACGCUGAGGCUCGAAAGUGCGGGUAUCAAACAGGAUUAGAUACCCUGGUA